UCUCUUCCAACCUAGAAAUCUGUGAUACUGUGAUACUGUGAUAUCAGACCCUCAAUAAAUAAAACGUCUUGAACCAUAUCAGUCCAAAAGGAGAAUUUUGUGUUGGUCAGAUGUGUUUAUGAAAAUGAUUGUAGUUUAGCCACUUUUUGAAGACAAGGAAUAUAGAAGAGAUUAUAUCAACUGCAGAUCAUCUGAAAGGAUUCCCAUUUAUUUUAAAAGCAGGAAAUAUGGGCCAACGUACAAAUUCUUGAGGAAAAAAACAGAUGUAGCAAGCAAGAAGAUACUGUGAACUGAACUCGACAAGUUAAUUAGGAAGUCUUGGAAAUGAAUCAUAUCUCUCAAAUUUUUUUUGUUUGUUUGUUUCAGUUGUAACUAUUCCUAAGGUAUUUGGGGAUGUUUUUGUACGUAAGGUUCUAUACACCCGAGGUAACCAAAGUCUGAAGUGGUGACAGUCCAAAAGAAUCCUGAUAAAUCAACUUCAUGCUUCCCUAGUAGGACAGCAGAUGUAAUUUUAAACUGAAAAACUGAGGAGAUAGUGCUACACCAGAAAAUAUGCCACUAAACAGGAGAGCAAAUGUGCUGAUGAGUACAAAAACGUCUGUCUAGGAGCUAAUGCUACAGAGCCACCAUUGCCUGCCAAAGCAAACAUUAUAUGAGUUUUGACUUCAAUGAGUGUGGAAAUUUUGUAGUACCAGUCGGCUCUUUUCACUCCCUUGCACGUUACCCAGAAAAACAUCAGGGCAACCUGGAAAGUUACAAGAAGUCCUCAUGCAUGAAAAAGUGUUUCAAUGAACUUUGCUCAAGAGAGGUCUGAAAGGUGCGUUAUGAUGAUGACCAGGACUAGCACUGGACGCAUAAACUGAUACUACACUGUCAACUCUCCUGAAGCAAGCGACAUACUUAGUGACAUAUUGGAGGAGAGGGGAGUGCUUAUCCCUUCGAGGAAGUCUGCCUCUGAUACCUGAGUCAACAAUCUGUUCUUUGGUUUCACUAAGAAUAUUAAAGGUGUA
rnacentral:lncRNA from 1 species